rnacentral:lncRNA from 10 species
CUUUUCGAGGUAGGAGUCGACUCCUGUGAGGUAUGGUGCUGGGUGCAGAUGCAGUGUGGCUCUGGAUAGCACCUUAUGGACAGUUGUGUCCCCAAGGAAGGAUGAGAAUAGCUACUGAAGUAAGUUGAAAAUUCCCUCUCAAAAAGGUUUAAAGCCAUUGGAUGUGCCACAAUGAUGACAGUUUAUUUGCUACUCUUGAGUGCUAGAAUGAUGAGGAUCUUAACCACCAUUAUCUUAACUGAGGCACCCAAAAUGGUGAGUUGGGGAACAUAGAGAGUACACCUAAGUUCACAUGAAGUUGUUUCUUCCCAGGUCCUAAAGAGCAAGCCUAACUCAAGCCAUUGGCACACAGGCAUUAGACAGAAAGCUGGAAGUUGAAAUGGUGGAGUCCAACUUGCCUGGACCAGCUUAAUGGUUCUGCUCCUGGUAACGUUUUUAUCCAUGGAUGACUUGCUUGGGUAAGGACAUGAAGACAGUUCCUGUCAUACCUUUUAAAGGUAUGGAGAGUCGGCUUGACUACACUGUGUGGAGCAAGUUUUAAAGAAGCAAAGGUAUAGCAGUUCCAAGUAUUUUUUUUUUUUUUUUAGACAAGAGUCUAGCUCUUGCCCAGAAUGGAGUGCAGCGGCACUAUCAGUUCACUGCAACCUCUGCCUCCCAGGUUCAAGGAAUUCUCCUGCCUCAGCCUCUUGAGUAGCUGGGAUUACAGGCAUGUGACACCAUGCCUGGCUAAUUUUGUACAGCUAUGUUGUCCAGGCUGGUCUCGAACUCUUGACCUCAAGUGAUACUGCCCGCACUGACCUCCCAAAGUGCUGGGAUUACAGGCGUGAGCCACCAUGCCCCGCCUCAAGUCUGGUUUUUAAGUGUUGUAAAGCCGAUACAAUGAUGAUAACAUAGUUCAGCAGACUAACGCUGAUGAGCAAUAUUAAGUCUUUCGCUCCUAUCUGAUGUAUCUGGCGGUAACAUUCUAGUUUAUGCCCCGAAAAGGGGAAUAUAGCCAUUCUAUAAUGUUUGGAGAUUUUGGAUUACUCCUAAUUGUAUGCAAGUUGUCUUACUGUGUAUUGUCCCUUAAUUUCAGGACUCAGAAUUCAUGAUUGAAGAAAUGCAGGUUAGUUUAAACUUUGAAGGAAAUUUUUAAGGUGGCAAAAGGUUUUGGUGGCAUAUACACCUUAAUCUGUAGAUGGGAGUGAUUAGCUGUUUAAAAGUUAAAAUGUGACUGAGAAGGAAAUUGAGUAGGGCAAAUUUUAAAUGGGUAUUAUUUUUCAUCUUCAAACAGGCAGACCUGUUAUCCUAAACUAGGUGAGUCAGCUUUUGGUACAUGUGAUGAUUUUCAGUGUAACCAAUGAUGUAAUGAUUCUGCCAAAUGAAAUAUAAUGAUAUCACUGUAAAACCGUUCCAUUUUGAUUCUGAGGUUACUCUACUAACAAGCAUCACACAUUUGUAUUUUGCCCUGAUUAAUAUGUUGGCUUCGCUUUCAGGGUUUUUAAUGACCACAACAAGCAAGCAUGCAGCUUACUGCUUGAAAGGGUCUUGCCUCACCCAAGCUAGAGUGCAGUGGCCUUUGAAGCUUACUACAGCCUCAAACUUCUGGGCUCAAGUGAUCCUCAGCCUCCCAGUGGUCUUUGUAGACUGCCUGAUGGAGUCUCAUGGCACAAGAAGAUUAAAACAGUGUCUCCAAUUUUAAUAAAUUUUUGCAAUCCA